rnacentral:rRNA from 1 species
UACAGAGGGUGCGAGCGUUAAUCGGAAUUACUGGGCGUAAAGCGUGCGUAGACGGUAGCAUAAGUCAGAUGUGAAAGCCCCGGGCUCAACCUGGGAAUUGCAUUUGAGACUGCUCUGCUCGGGUGCGGAAGAGGGAAGCGGAAUUUCCGGUGUAGCGGUGAAAUGCGUAGAUAUCGGAAGGAGCACCAGUGGCGAAAGCGGCUUCCUGGUCCGACACCGACGUUCAGGCACGAAAGCGUGGGGAGCAAACAGG